GUGCCAGCCGCCGCGGUAAUACGGAGGGUGCAAGCGUUAAUCGGAAUUACUGGGCGUAAAGCGCACGCAGGCGGCUUUUUAAGUCGGAUGUGAAAGCCCCGGGCUCAACCUGGGAAUUGCAUUCGAUACUGGGGAGCUAGAGUAUGUGAGAGGGGGGUAGAAUUCCAAGUGUAGCGGUGAGAUGCGUAGAGAUUUGGAGGAAUACCAGUGGCGAAGGCGGCCCCCUGGCACAAUACUGACGCUCAGGUGCGAAAGCGUGGGGAGCAAACAGGAUUAGAAACCCCUGUAGUCC
rnacentral:rRNA from 1 species